UAGCAUAAUCAUUAGUUUUUUAAUUGAAAACUUGUAUGAAUGGUUGGACAAAGAAAAAGCUGUCUCUUUCAUUAAAAUUGAAUUUAACUUCUAAGUGAAAAGGCUUAGAUAUUUUAGAGGGACGAUAAGACCCUAUAAAGCUUUAUAAAUUUAAAGAUUUUAUAUAUUUUUUAUUAUAAUGAUAAUUUCUCAAAAAUUUAUUGGGUUGGGGCAACAAAAGUAUAAUUAUCAAUAACUGCUAUAAAUUACUACAAUUAUUUUUGUUAUUAGAGAGUUGUUGAUCCUCGAAAGGGAUUAAAAGAUCAAGUUACUUUAGGGAUAACAGCGUAAUUUAUCUUGAGAGUUCUUAUCAAAGGAUAAGAUUGCGACCUC
rnacentral:rRNA from 1 species